UACGGAGGGUGCAAGCGUUACUCGGAAUCACUGGGCGUAAAGGGCGCGUAGGCGGCCUAGCAAGUCUGGUGUGAAAGCCCAGGGCUCAACCCUGGAAGGGCACUGGAAACUGUUAGGCUUGAGUUCCGGAGAGGAGGGGGGAAUUCCCGGUGUAGCGGUGAAAUGCGUAGAUAUCGGGAGGAAUACCGGUGGCGAAGGCUCCCCUCUGGACGGAAACUGAAGCUGCGGCGCUUAAGCGUGGGGAGCAAACAGG
rnacentral:rRNA from 1 species